rnacentral:lncRNA from 1 species
GUUCUGAAAUGAAAGAGUAAAGCCCUUUCUGAGCAUACAAAGAGCACUGCAUUAAGGACUGCAGCCUACAACCUUUCAGGCAGUCCUCCAGAACUGCUGUGCCCUCUUUAUUUGUCCAGCACAGGCAGAAGACAGGAGGAGGAAAGUGUUCCCUGGCAAGUGCUAAAGUGAGACUUUGGUAUACGGAAAAGAAAUCUUUCCUGGUGUUUGUUUUGGCAGGAAUAGUUUUAGCAGACACUCUUACAAUCCCAUCCACUUGCAGAGCAAGGCUGCAGCUCACAUAUUAUUAAAACUCCAGGGCUAAUCUCUUUCCAUACAUCGAUAUUACCGGAGCUAGCAGAACACAAGCAAAGUUGUUGGGUCAGCAAAGACUUUUUUUCUUUACAAAAUACAAUAAUAUUUUCUCUAAAUAAAGAGAGUUGGUUGGCUUCAAGCAAGGGGGACAACAAGGUCCUUCUAAAUGACAAUCCUGGGCAUUCAAAGUUGAAACCCCAUAGCUUUCAUUCCCAGGCAUUCAAGCUGCCAGCAGAUGCACUGUCUCAUUGCCUGAGCUUGCACAAGUGACCAGGGAGCCUGGGAGAGGCAGAUGACCCUCUUCUAUCAUUAGAGCUGCACUUCAAGAACCAUAGCAUACGAACAUCUGCAUCAGUGGAGAAGAGGAUACAUCUUCUGAGUGCAUAUGCUGGUGUCCUUAUUAGAGCUGCUGAGUUUUCUCUGUGAAUUAACUCUUGUAAACAGUGCUACAGCAAUGUGCCGGCAGAGACUAUAUUGAAAGACUGCUGAAAUCCAAGGCCUACAUCUAUAGGGUUGUGUGGGCAUAAGCAUCAUAGAAACAAGUUGCCCUGGAGAUACCCCAGCUUCUCUGACGAGCAUUCACGCAUGGAGCAGCUCCUUUGGAACCCUCCUGAGAACAAUUCUCUUCUUUCUGUUGCCAUCAUUCUUCAUGUCUUGCUCACAGAAGCUAAUGUGGCUAUAGCACACCAGUCAGCCCCAAGUUUACAAGAUGAACUCUGCCUUGAAUGUGAUUAUUACUUGCACCAGGAGAGAUACUAG